AGAGAAUAGAGAGAAUAGAGGGAGAGAGAGCUGCAUGCGCAAGACAGCAGUCGGUAGAACAGUGGCGCCGCUGUCUUGUCCGUUUUGUAUAUCGUGGCUGACACUACAGGCUUGAACGUGAUGCUGCCGCCACUGUCAGUCGAAAUCAGCGACUGUUGCUGCUCUCCUCCUUGAAGUAGAGGGGAGGGUAGAGAUAGAGAGAGAGGCAUAGAUAGGAGAGGGGACGGAUAUAGAGGAGAGGGGAGAUAGAGGAGAGGGGCACAGAACGGGAAGAGAGCAGAGUAGUACAGAAAAGAGCAAGAUUUUGGGUCGAAUCGGAGAUGAAUCGCUAACCAAACCUUCAGCUUUGGCUCUCCCAACUGUCUCGAUGUUUUCAGACUAAGGUUUCCAUGGUGGACUCCACAUCUUCAUGACAACAAGAGGACAUCACCAGGAAAACACAAGGACGUCACCAAGACAACACAAGGACGUCACCAAGACAAUACAAAG
ensembl:lncRNA